rnacentral:rRNA from 1 species
CACGUAGUUGGCCGGUGCUUCUUCUGCAGGUACCGUCACUUGCGCUUCGUCCCUGCUGAAAGAGGUUUACAACCCGAAGGCCGUCAUCCCUCACGCGGCGUUGCUGGAUCAGGCUUCCGCCCAUUGUCCAAUAUUCCCCACUGCUGCCUCCCGUAGGAGUCUGGGCCGUGUCUCAGUCCCAGUGUGGCCGGUCACCCUCUCAGGCCGGCUACCCGUCGAAGCCAUGGUGAGCCAUUACCUCACCAUCAAGCUGAUAGGCCGCGAGCACAUCCCUGGCCGAAAAACUUUCCACAACCAUCUCAUGCGAGAAGCUGUCAUAUCCGGUAUUAAUCACCGUUUCCGGUGGCUAUCCCAAAGCCAGGGGCAGAUUACUCACGUGUUACUCACCCGUUCGCCGCUCGAGUACCACCGAAGUGGCCUUUCCGCUCGACUUGCAUGUGUUAAGCACGCCGCCAGCGUUCGUCCUGAGCCAGGAUCAAACUCU